AAGUCGUAACAAGGUUUCCGUAGGUGAACCUGCGGAAGGAUCACUAGUGAUUAAAUCGAGAGCGUCUUCAUUGACCUCUCACCCUUCACAUCCACAUACACCUGUGCACCGUUUGGCUCUUUUAAAGGACGCAAGUCUGCAAAGAGAGUCAUCAUUUUUAUACAUACCCCAGUCUUAUGAAUGUAACAGUUUUAAUAAACAAAAUAAAACUUUUAACAACGGAUCUCUUGGUUCUC
rnacentral:misc_RNA from 1 species